rnacentral:rRNA from 1 species
UAAACGCUGGCGGCGCACAUAAGACAUGCAAGUCGAACGGAAGUCGUUUUAGUGAUUCUGAUAUGAAAGAUUUAUCCGGAUUUGAAGAUGAACUAAACAAUGGCUUUAGUGCGGACUGGUGAGUAACACGUAAGCAACCUGCCUGUUANAGGGGAAUAACAACGAGAAAUAGGUGCUAAUACCGCAUAAGCGCACAGUUUCGCAUGAGACAGUGUGAAAAACUCCGGUGGUAUACGAUGGACCCGCGUCUGAUUAGAUAGUUGGUGGGGUAACGGCCUACCAAGUCGACGAUCAGUAGCCGGACUGAGAGGUUGAACGGCCACAUUGGGACUGAGACACGGCCCAGACUCCUACGGGAGGCAGCAGUGGGGGAUAUUGCACAAUGGAGGAAACUCUGAUGCAGCAACGCCGCGUGAGGGAAGAAGGUUUUCGGAUUGUAAACCUCUGUUUUUAGUGAAGAAUAAAUGACGGUAGCUAAAGAGGAAGCCACGGCUAACUACGUG